rnacentral:rRNA from 1 species
AUUGAACGCUGGCGGCAUGCCUUACACAUGCAAGUCGAACGGUAACGCGGGGCAACCUGGCGACGAGUGGCGAACGGGUGAGUAAUGCAUCGGAACGUGCCCAGUAGUGGGGGAUAGCCCGGCGAAAGCUGGAUUAAUACCGCAUACGACCUACGGGUGAAAGGGGGGGAUCGCAAGACCUCUCGCUAUUGGAGCGGCCGAUGUCAGAUUAGGUAGGUGGUGGGGUAAAGGCCUACCAAGCCGACGAUCUGUAGCUGGUCUGAGAGGACGACCAGCCACACUGGGACUGAGACACGGCCCAGACUCCUACGGGAGGCAGCAGUGGGGAAUUUUGGACAAUGGGCGCAAGCCUGAUCCAGCCAUGCCGCGUGCGGGAAGAAGGCCUUCGGGUUGUAAACCGCUUUUGUCAGGGAAGAAAUCUUCUGGGUUAAUACCUCGGGAGGAUGACGGUACCUGAAGAAUAAGCACCGGCUAACUACGUGCCAGCCGCCGCCGUAACAC